CACGGGGGGAGCAAGCGUUGUUCGGAAUCACUGGGCGUAAAGGGAGUCUAGGCGGUCAGAUAAGUGGAAUGUGAAAUCCCUCGGCUUACCCGAGGACCUGCAUCCCAAACUGUCUGGCUUGAGUAUGGGAGAGGAUGAGGGGAAUUCCUGGUGUAGCGGUGAAAUGCGUAGAUAUCAGGAGGAACACCGGUGGCGAAAGCGCUCAUCUGGCCCAAUACUGACGCUGAAGCUCGAAAGCUAGGGGAGCAAACGGG
rnacentral:rRNA from 1 species